CGGGUGCACUGAUCCGGCCGGGCCUUUCCCUCUGUGGAACCCCAUGGCCUUCACUGGCUGUGCGGGGGAAACAGGACUUUUACUGUGAAAAAAUUAGGGUGCUCCAGGCAGGCCUAUGCUCGAAUACAUUAGCAUGGAAUAAUAGAAUAGGACGCGUGGUUCUAUUUUGUUGGUUUCUAGGACCGCCGUAAUGAUUAAUAGGGACAGUCGGGGGCAUCAGUAUUCAAUUGUCAGAGGUGAAAUUCUUGGAUCUAUUGAAGACUAACUACUGCGAAAGCAUUUGCCAAGGAUGUUUUCAUUGAUAAGGAACGAAAGUUAGGGGAUCGAAGACGAUCAGAUACCGUCGUAGUCUUAACUAUAAACUAUGCCGACUAGGGAUCGGACGAUGUUAUUUCUUGACGCGUUCGGCACCUUUCGAGAAAUCAAAGUGCUUGGGCUCCAGGGGGAGUAUGGUCGCAAGGCUGAAACUUAAAGAAAUUGACGGAAGGGCACCACCAGGGGUGGAACCUGCGGCUUAAUUUGACUCAACACGGGGAAACUCACCAGGUCCAGACACAAUGAGGAUUGACAGAUUGAGAGCUCUUUCUUGAUUUUGUGGGUGGUGGUGCAUGGCCGUUCUUAGUUGGUGGAGUGAUUUGUCUGCUUAAUUGCGAUAACGAACGAGACCUUAACCUGCUAAAUAGCCCGUACUGCUCUGGCAGUUCGCCGGCUUCUUAGAGGGACUAUCGG
rnacentral:rRNA from 1 species